CAUGAUGUCAUUCCUAACUGGCCAGCCUUCCUUCUCCCCCGACUCAAUGCAGCCCUCAUGUCCUCGCAGUCCAGAUGCUGGUUUGCAGAAUGCUGGGAACACUUUGGGCUCUUUUGUAGGGGGUCAAUUUUCUUUGGGUCUCAAAAUAUCCCUAGUCCCCUAAUCCCGUUCCUGGGUUGAGAAUGAGUGGUUUGGGCUCCAGAAAUGCACACCUGAUUGCUGAGAAGCUCUGGCUGGGCUUGCUGGGUAGCCCCAAGAAAGACUUUUUUCUUCCAAGGCGUUCCCUCCUCCCUGCUGUGAAAUGGAACACCUUUUGUCUGAAUCCCACUUCCUUCGGUGCUGACAUGCAACUGUUAGGUGUUUCCCAUGCCUGGCAAUCACCCUAAGCGCGAAGCUUGGGGGUGCUUUGGUGAUCCAUGAAAAGGCUGGCAGGCAUGUCUUGUGAUAGGAAGAGGUUCUGUUUAUAACCAUAUAUGUCUCCCCAAGAGAGCUGAUAAAUAAUGUGCUCACUCUGGCAGGGUUGUCUUUCCAUAGCUGCCCAGGGGCCCUUUGGCCCCCACUGGCUGCUUCUCCUAUUUCAAUUUCCAUGUCCUCUCGGUUUUGUAACUCAAGGAGCGCCCCUGGCUUAGGAACAGCUGACAACUCCACAGCUCCCAGCAGUGGCACCUGGAGAAGGGGCGGAUGGGCACUGACUUGUGGGCGUGCUCUGGGGCACCCUGUCCCCGGCUGUCAUGAGUCAUUUGCAAGGUGAGCCAGGAUGUAAG
rnacentral:lncRNA from 1 species